rnacentral:rRNA from 1 species
CAUUUGGAAACAGAUGCUAAUACCGAAUAAAACUUAGUAUCGCAUGAUAUCAAGUUAAAAGGCGCUACGGCGUCACCUAGAGAUGGAUCCGCGGUGCAUUAGUUAGUUGGUGGGGUAAAGGCUUACCAAGACGAUGAUGCAUAGCCGAGUUGAGAGACUGAUCGGCCACAUUGGGACUGAGACACGGCCCAAACUCCUACGGGAGGCUGCAGUAGGGAAUCUUCCACAAUGGGCGCAAGCCUGAUGGAGCAACGCCGCGUGUGUGAUGAAGGCUUUCGGGUCGUAAAGCACUGUUGUAUGGGAAGAAAUGCUAAAAUAGGGAAUGAUUUUAGUUUGACGGUACCAUACCAGAAAGGGACGGCUAAAUACGUGCCAGCAGCCGCGGUAAUACGUAUGUCCCGAGCGUUAUCCGGAUUUAUUGGGCGUAAAGCGAGCGCAGACGGUUGAUUAAGUCUGAUGUGAAAGCCCGGAGCUCAACUCCGGAAUGGCAUUGGAAACUGGUUAACUUGAGUGUUGUAGAGGUAAGUGGAACUCCAUGUGUAGCGGUGGAAUGCGUAGGUAUAUGGAAGAACACCAGUGGCGAAGGCGGCUUACUGGACAACAACUGACGUUGAGGCUCGAAAGUGUGGGUAGCAAACAGGAUUAGAUACCCUGGUAGUCCACACCGUAAACGAUGAAUACUAGGUGUUAGGAGGUUUCCGCCUCUUAGUGCCGAAGCUAACGCAUUAAGUAU